AGGCUGGUCUCAAACUCCUGACCUCAAGUGAUCUGCAUACCUCAGCCUCCCAAAGUACUGGGAUUACAGGAGUGUGGCUCAGCCUCUCAUUCCUAAGGUUUAUACAAGGGUGCCAGGUCUUUGCGGGGAAGAGGGGUGACUUGAAGUGAGUGGAAGUUAAAAAUGGUAGUACCCAGAAUUUCCUGCACUUUGGAGAAAAGGGACUAGGUGAGGUGCUCAGUGUUAGCCUAGGGCUUAGCUCUUACUCUAAUAGGACCUCUUUCCUCCUUCUCCCCUAAAUUUUUCCCACUGGUUAAAGAGAGAUCUGGAUGUCUAAACCUCCCAUCUUGACACCUUGGAGUUUAUUAAGCAGGUCCCCUCUCUGUAGCUUCCAAAGCCACGAAGAAAGGGAAGAAAGGCCAAGACAGGGGUAGAUAGAGGUGGCAGUGCCAUGGUGUCCAUCAGCACCCAAGGAGAAAGGCCAAGGAGAAGAAAGUGACUAGAGAGGAAGCCAGGAGGAGAUGCCUGCUCCUGAAACAGCAUUCUUACCCCAUCCUCUCCUGCUUCCCCACUCACAUGCUGACAGGGCUGUUUGCCCAAGUGUGGCAGCUCGCCUGGCUAGUGAUCCUGCUCUGCUGUGCAGGCAGCCAGCUCUCUGCCCCAGCACAGAGCACAUGCUGAGGUCUCUCACACUCCUUUGCUCACUCAUUUCCAUGUGUUAUGUUGCGGAUUCCUAGAAAUGAAGGAAGGGACUGUGGGCUUGAAGAUAGGAAGAUGGCAGGCUCUGGGGCCCAUUGGGCACAUAUCUGCCUGGCUGGAGGAAGGAAAGAGGAAGAAGGCUGCUGGUAGCUCAGCAAGCUCAAGGUUCUGGUGACUCACAGCAGUGGAGGUGGCUCACAAAAACAACAGAGGGGAAGGGGUCCAGGCCUGUUAGAGCUCUCUUUUGCCCCAUAUCUCCCCACUCUGAGCUCUGUGAAUGAAGGUGCCUCAUCUGGAUUGUGGAGCAGGGGAGGCCCCAACCAUGAAAAAAGAGGGAAAUGGGAGAGAAGAUAGCAGGGGAAACUGAGCAUUCCCAGUGAAAGGUAUCUCACUGAGGAAAGGAUAGGAGAGGCCAGUUAUUCUUGCCCUACUGUAUUCGUUGGGUGCACAGGGGGUAUGGGGCAUCCACCUGUGCUAGGGUAGCUCAGUGCCCCUGGGUACUUCACAGAAGAGGGGCUUCCUAGGCAAACACAAUUACUCCUCCCUGUCCUCUCUUGCCUGCCCAGAACUCUAGGUACCCAGCUGACACUAAAUUUUUAGAAGUAAAACAAGCUGUGUUAUAACACCAGAACCUGGAAGGAUAACUGCUAGGUCUCAGUACUCUCCUUUCUGGAAACAGACACGUGGGACAAGAGAGAAGUAGCUAGGGACUCCUACGUUGGCUGAACCAAGGUAGUGGUGCAGGCUGUGGAGGUGGGUGCAGAACCAUAGCUCUUCAGACAUGUCAAUUUCCUCUUCCCUUGUGUGCCAGGUGGGCAGUAUGCAUCGUCUCCAUUUUUCUGAAGGGGGGAUAAUAAGGUACUGUGUUUGAGGUCACACCAGGGAAAAGAGGCCAGAAAGUGGACCAGGAGAACAUUCAUGCCUUGGACUCCAGUCCCAGGGGCCUAUACUGGAUCUGGUAAAGAGUAACAGCUAGGAUAGCCGGGCAUGGCAGCUCACACCCGUAUUCCCAGCACUUUGGGAGUCCGAGGUGGGUGGAUCACGAGGUCAGGAGAUAGAGACCAUCCUGACCAACAUGGUGAAACCCCGUCUCUACUAAAAAUACAAAAAUCAGCUGGGUGUGGUGGUGGGCGCCUGUAGUCCCAGCUACACAGGAGGCUGAGGCAGGAGAAUCUCUUGAGCCCGGGAGGCAGAGGUUGCAGCGAUCUCUGAGUUGAGAUCGCGCCACUGCACUCCAGCCUUCCAGCCUGGGCAACAGAGCGAAACUCUGUCUCAAAAAAAAAAAAAAGUAACAGCGAUCUUACUUGCCAGCAUAUCCAGACACAUAAUAGUAAAUAUCCGGCUGGCGCAAUGGCUUACACCUGUAAUCCCAGCACUUUGGGAGGCCGAGGCAGGCGGAUCACAAGGUCAGGAGAUGGAGACUAUCCUGGCUAAUAUGGUGAAACCCCGUCUCUAUUAAAAAUGCAAAAAAUUAGCCGGGCAUGGUGGCAGGUGCCUGUAAUCCCAGCUACUCAGGAGGCUGAGGCAGGAGAAUCGCUUGAACCCGGGAAGCAGAGGUUGCAGUGAGCCGAGAUCACACCACUGCACCACUGUAAUCCAGCCUGGGUGACACAGCAAGACUCUGUCUCAAAAAAUUAAUUAAUUAAUUAAUUAAAAAAUAAACAUCCCAUCUUCAGAGAAGGAUGGACUAAGAGGAGGAGGGUUCUGUGACAGAGUCUGAGUUCUCAUUUGCCUAUUUCUGUUCCUUUCAUUGCUGGCAGCUCUGCUCUCCUGCCAGGAUGAGGGACCCUCUGCCCACUUGCUCCUGGUGGUCCAGAGAUGGCUUUGGUUAGAAAAAGGACAGAUGAUUAGCCACUCCUUGUGUAGGAAGACAGGAAGAGCUCCAUUCCCCAAGCUCUCCUGGGCAGUAUGAAAAGCCCCAGGUUCCCUGCUGGGACAUAUAUAAUAAAGCUCAGUGCUGAACUAAACCAACAACCUGGCCCUGGGUAUAAAAGUAGUACUGUGAGGGGGAUCUUGGGUCCACCAGGCCAGAUGUAAGCAGGUGUAGGGAGUUUAGCCCUGGGAGAGAUAUAAGAAGCAUGCCAUGGCCAGGCGCAGUGGCUUAUGCCUAUAAUCCCAGCACUUUGGGGGGCCGAGGUGGGCAGAUCGCUUGAGCUUAGGAGUUCGAGACCAGCCUGGGAAACAUAGUGAAACCUCAUCUCUACACACACACACACACACACACACACACACACACAAUUAGCCAGGUGUGGUGGCAUACAUCUCUAGUCCCAGCUACUUAGGAGGCUGAGGUAGGAGGAUUGCUUGAGCCUGGGAGGUGGAGAUUGCAGUAAGCCAAGAUUGUGCCGCUGCACUCCAGCCUGGGCAACAGAGUGAGACCCUGUCUCAAAAAAAAAAAA